CACAACACAUUCACCCUUUUCAGGUUGUGUGAAUGUGAACGGCUGAAUUCACCAUUAGUGGGAAAAGCAACACAAAGGAUUUGCUACUUUUAAAAAAAGUACGCUGGAGAAGCACAGGGAGGCAGAAGCAGGGCUGCGAGCUCCGGGUGGAACAGAACAAGUUGUGCAUCAAAAAGACCAAAGGCUGAACCUCUGAACCCUGGGUGUGGCUUCUGUACUGUGCUUUACAAAAACAGAUGUCUCUCCCACAAAGUCAUGGACACGCCCACACUGCACUUGGAUCAACAAUGCCAGGGACACGAGUAAAAAACAAAAGUCUUUUUCUAUUUCUAAACGCUGACUCAUCUCUUCAGACAGCAUGUGAAAAUAGCCGGCUUUCAGGAAAGGAGGUAUGGUUCUACUUGGUGUUUCCCCAUAAAAGGAGCGAGCCAGUAAAAGCUACCAGAUGUUGGUGAAAUAUUAGACAAGAUCCUACACGCUCCACAAGGCAGAGCGAGACGGAGCGAGGGGCAAA